rnacentral:rRNA from 1 species
AGAGUUUGAUCCUGGCUCAGGAUGAACGCUAGCUACAGGCUUAACACAUGCAAGUCGAGGGGAAACGAUAGAGAAAGCUUGCUUUUUCUAGGCGUCGACCGGCGCACGGGUGAGUAACGCGUAUCCAACCUGCCCAUCACUUGGGGAUAACCUUGCGAAAGUAAGACUAAUACCCAAUGACGUCUCUAGAAGACAUCUGAAGGAGAUUAAAGAUUUAUCGGUGAUGGAUGGGGAUGCGUCUGAUUAGCUUGUUGGCGGGGUAACGGCCCACCAAGGCGACGAUCAGUAGGGGUUCUGAGAGGAAGGUCCCCCACAUUGGAACUGAGACACGGUCCAAACUCCUACGGGAGGCAGCAGUGAGGAAUAUUGGUCAAUGGGCGAGAGCCUGAACCAGCCAAGUAGCGUGCAGGAAGACGGCCCUAUGGGUUGUAAACUGCUUUUAUAAGGGAAUAAAGUGAGUCUCGUGAGACUUUUUGCAUGUACCUUAUGAAUAAGGACCGGCUAAUUCCGUGCCAGCAGCCGCGGUAAUACGGAAGGUCCGGGCGUUAUCCGGAUUUAUUGGGUUUAAAGGGAGCGUAGGCCGGAGAUUAAGCGUGUUGUGAAAUGUAGACGCUCAACGUCUGCACUGCAGCGCGAACUGGUUUCCUUGAGUACGCACAAAGUGGGCGGAAUUCGUGGUGUAGCGGUGAAAUGCUUAGAUAUCACGAAGAACUCCGAUUGCGAAGGCAGCUCACUGGAGCGCAACUGACGCUGAAGCUCGAAAGUGCGGGUAUCGAACAGGAUUAGAUACCCUGGUAGUCCGCACGGUAAACGAUGGAUGCCCGCUGUUGGUCUGAAUAGGUCAGCGGCCAAGCGAAAGCAUUAAGCAUCCCACCUGGGGAGUACGCCGGCAACGGUG